rnacentral:lncRNA from 1 species
AAUAAUUAGCAGUAAUUAGCACUCAACACUUCAGGGAGCAGGAGGAAAAAUAAAGAAAGAAGUACAAUGAAUUCAGUGGGGGGCAGGAGGAGCGCGUGAGGAUACUUGAUCUUCAUCCCCACAUCAGCUUUUCAGCUAGCCAGCCCCACAUCUGUUCUCCAGCCCCACAUCUACUCUUCAGCCCCACAUCCAGCUCUCCUUUCCCACAUCUGCUCUCCAGCCCCACACAGGCUCUCUAUCCCCUCAUCCAGCUCUCCAGCCCCACAUCGGCUCUCCAUUUUUCUUUCCAUCAGCUCUCCAGCCCCACAUCUGUUCUCCUGCCCCACAUCUGUUCUCCAGCCCCACAUCUACUCUUCAGCCCCACAUCCAGCUCUCCAUUCCCACAUCUGCUCUCCAGCCCCACACAGGCUCUCCAUCCCCUCAUCCAGCUCUCCAUCCCCACAUCAGCUCUCCAUCUUCCUUCCCAUUAGCUCUCCAGCCCCACAUCUGUUCUCCAGCCCCACAUCUAUUCUCCAGCCCCACAUCCAACUCUCCAUUCUCACAUCUGUUCUCCAGCCCCACAUCUGCUCUCUAUUCCUUCAUCUGCUCUUCAGCCCCACACAGGCUCUCCAUCCCCUCAUCCAGCUCUCCACCCCCACAUCAGCUCUCCAUCUUCUUUCCCAUCUGUUAUCCAACCCCACAUCUGUUCUCCAGCCCCACAUCCAACUCUCCAUUCUCACAUCUGUUCUCCAGCCCCACAUCUGCUCUCCAGCCCAACAUCCAGCUCUCCAGCCCCACAUAGGCUCUCUAUCCCCUCAUCCAGCUCUCCAUCCCCACAUCAGCUCUCCAUCUUCCUUCCCAUUAGCUCUCCAGCCCCACAUCUGUUCUCCAGCCCCACAUCUGUUCUCCAGCCCCACAUCUGCUCUCCAGCCCCACAUAGGCUCUCUAUCCCUUCAUCCAUCUCUCCAUCCCCACAUUCAGCUUCCAACACACAUCCACUGCUGGAAGGAGAUCCCCAUCCCACCAGGUCCCGUGAGCAUCACUGGGAUGUCACAUUCAUGAGCACAUACAGU